CGGCCGGGGCCGCGGCGCGGGGAAGCCACUUUGCACGGUCAGCGCCGGCCACAAGUUUGUUCCUCGGCUCCUGGGGGCCUCCGAGCUGAGGGAGAAUAACGCGGAGGGGGCUGAGAGGAGGGGGAGAGGGGAGGCGCCGAGGGGCAAAAGAGUGGGGAAAAGUGCGAAAAGAAGCAACAGCCGCUCCACCCGGGGCCAGAAAAGUGGCUGGCCGCGUCCCGACCGCCCGCCCUGCGCCGGGGAUGCGGCGGCUAACGGUCCAAGGAGGCGGCAGGGGCGGCAGGAGCCGCUAGGCGGAGAGAGACCAGAAAUCCUCAUCAAGAAGCCUCUGACAUCUUGAGACAUUGGAAAAAGACCUGUGGUUCCAGAGAAACUCAAGACCAAAGCUACUGACUAGUGCCCUGCCACCUCCCCCAACCAAGGAGGAGGCGCAGACUUAAGGUGGACAGCCUGGAAUAUUCCACUGCACACUGAUGUUGGGAGAGAGAUCAGGUUAUUCCAACUUGCCCAUUAAUGUAUAUGAAUUACUUAGUUAAUUCCACUGAGUUGCUUCUAUUUGAAAAGAAUUGUAUCAGGAACUGGAAGUGUAAAAAUGCUGUUCAAUAAAGAAGGCAUAAUUAAAUGAGGA